rnacentral:lncRNA from 1 species
ACCAUCCUUUGGCAAAUGAGCUCUGUGGGCUCUGGCUCCUGGAGUUCUGCUCUGCUUGAACAGCGCUGGGGACAGACGAGGGCGGUGCCACGUGCUGACCAUCAUCAGGAGCUCGUGGGCUGAUGAUGAGCUCUUCGGUCCUGCUGGAGCCAAGAACGGGACAGCAGAUGGUGCGUGAGCUGGCACAGCUCCCCGUGAUCUUCUGUUUGUUAUCCUCACAGGAGAGCAUUGCCCUGGGAAAAACCCAAGGGUUGGAUUCCAGGAGGGAGUUUCUCCUUGUGCAAUAACCACUGCACCUACACCGGCCACACGCGUUGCUCACACGGGGGCCACUUGUUGCUGCCACGAGUGUUUUGGGUGCAGGGGAGGUCUCCUAGGAAAUCAGGCUCUAGCUCAGCUUUCAGGGCUGCUGUCCCGUCCCCUGUUUGCUCAGUACCCAGCAAGAGAGAGCCACAACAGCAUUACUCCAGACUCACUCACUAGGAACAAGGAUAUUUCGCAAUAGAAACUUCUGUUCUGGGCUACUUAGCAACUGAUAAUGAAUAAAUCACUGCACUCAGGAGGAACUUGCAAAGCUGAUUUUAGAGCCCGAGUGGAUCUGAGUGCACAAAAGGAUCUGUGCAGGUAGAGGACGUCCAGCUCCCUGCUGCCCCAAUGAAUCCAUGGGGCAGGGAGAUGUGGAUCGCAGUCUCUGUGAGGUGGGGGGGGUCAGCUCCAGCACCCACACGUGUGGCAGUGGGAAAGGAUCGCAGUGCGCGCUUACAUGAGUUGCAAUAAUACUGUCGUCCUCUGGGUGACGUUUCAAAUGCAAAGAGUAAAAAUCUCGGUUCCUGCUGCAGCUUUCAGAGAGGCAGCCACGCGUUUGCCGGUGUUUUGUUGUCUCCGCACACGUGCACAUCGAGUCACUCGGAGGCAGUUGUUUCCACUUGUGGCCGUGGAGGAUUUCCUGAUCGCUUUGGGGUUUGGUGGCUGCGUGACGAUACCAGCAACGCAAGCUAUUCUAGGAAAUAAUUGUGUUCCUGCUAAAAUCAAGUUAAGUAAGCUUUAA